rnacentral:rRNA from 1 species
CGCGUAGGCGGGCGGAGAAGUCGCGUGUGAAAGCCCCGGGCUCAACCCGGGAACGGCGCGCGAGACUCUCCGUCUUGAGUUCCGGAGAGGCGGGUGGAAUUCCUGGUGUAGCGGUGAAAUGUGUAGAGAUCAGGAGGAACACCGGUGGCGCAGGCGGCCCGCUGGACGGUGACUGACGCUGAGGCGCGAAAGCGUGGGGAGCAAACG